CAUACUCUGAUGUCUCAAGAUUAAGCCAUGCAUGUCUAAGUACACACUGUGGCACAGUGAAACCGCGAAUGGCUCAUUAAAUCAGUUAUGGUUUAUUAGAUCGUGCGUUCCUAUGUGGAUAACUGUGGUAAUUCUAGAGCUAAUACAUGCAACUGGUCCUGACUUUAUUGGAAGGACGCUCUUAUUAGAUCAAAACCAAUCCGGUUCGCCGGUUGUUGUGAUGACUCUGGAUAAUUUUGUGCCGACCGCAUGGCCUUGAGCCGGCGGCGUAUCUUUCAAAUGUCUGCCCUAUCAACUUUCGAUGGUAGGUGACAUGCCUACCAUGGUUGUAACGGGUAACGGAGAAUCAGGGUUCGAUUCCGGAGAGGGAGCCUGAGAAACGGCUACCACAUCCAAGGAAGGCAGCAGGCGCGCAAAUUACCCACUCCCGGCACGGGGAGGUAGUGACGAAAAAUAACAAUGCUGGGCUUCAAGUCCGGUAAUUGGAAUGAGUACACUUUAAAUCCUUUAACGAGGAUCUAGUGGAGGGCAAGUCUGGUGCCAGCAGCCGCGGUAAUUCCAGCUCCACGAGCAUGUACGUAAGUUGUUGCAGUUAAAAAGCUCGUAGUUGGAUCUCAGGCUCGUAGCCAGUGGUCCGCUCGAUACGGGUGUGCACUGCUGUGCUCGGCCUACGUCUGGUUACGUUCGUAGUGCCCUUAACUGGGUGCUGCGGAAUGCCAGAAGGUUUACUCUGAAAAAAUUAGAGUGCUCAAAGCAAGCUGUUAUGCUUGAAUACUGUUGCAUGGAAUAAUGGAAUAGGACCUCGGAUCUAUUUUGUUGGUUUUCGGAGUCGAGGUAAUGAUUAAGAGGGACAGACGGGGGCAUUCGUAUUGCGCCGUUAGAGGUGAAAUUCUUGGAUCGGCGCAAGACGAACAACUGCGAAAGCAUUUGCCAAGGAUUUUUUUCAUUAAUCAAGAACGAAAGUCAGAGGUUCGAAGACGAUCAGAUACCGUCGUAGUUCUGACAUAAACGAUGCCAACUGCGAUCCGCCGUAGUCUGUUUCAAAGGACUCGGCGGGCAGCUCGGGAACUUAGUUUUUUGGGUUCGGGGGAGUAUGCUGCAAAGCUGAAACCUAAAGAUUGACGAGCACCACCAGGAUGGAGCUGCGCCUAAUUGACUCA
rnacentral:rRNA from 1 species